rnacentral:rRNA from 1 species
GAUGAACGCUGGCGGCGUGCCUAACACAUGCAAGUCGAACGGAGUUAUUAUUAUGAAGUUUUCGGAUGGAUUAAUAAUAACUUAGUGGCGGACGUGUGAGUAACGCGUGGGUAACCUGCCUCCUACAGGGGGAUAACAGUUGGAAACGGCUGCUAAAACCGCAUAAAAUUGCGAUGUCGCAGGCCAAUGCAAUCAACAUGUUUAUAGGUAUGAGAUGGGCCACCGUCUGAUUAGCUAGUUGGUGGGGUAAUGGCCUACCAAGGCGACGAACAGUAGCCGGCUUGAGAGAGUGACCGGCCACAUUGGGACUGAGACACGGCCCAAACUCCUACGGGAGGCAGCAGUGGGGAAUAUUGCACAAUGGGGGAAACCCUGAUGCAGCGACGCCGCGUGAGUGAAGAAGUAUUUCGGUAUGUAAAGCUCUAUCAGCAGGGAAGAAAAUGACGGUACCUGACUAAGAAGCCCCGGCUAACUACGUGCCAGCCGCCGCCGUAA